CCCUAUAGUAAUUCGCAACCUUCGCAACAGCUAAUUAAUAUGGGAUGGAAAGAAAGGGACUUUGUAAAAAAAAAAGAAAGAAAAUCACUCUGCAAGCCCAAAAAAUCAUUCCCCGAGUUUUCGUCGUUCGUUGUUUACCUGUCAGGCCAUCACCCCGUUUGAACACACUUUAAACGUGUUUUUUGGUGUCGUGUGACAUUGAAAUGACACACCGUAUGCUCGGGGAAAAUGGCGACCCCCGAGUCCAUGCCCCGACCCCCGAGUUUUAGUUACCCCCGUCGGCCGUUGCCAAUUGAUAGCUGUCAGAAGCCUUUGAUUAUGUUCUAUUCAAGCUUAUUUUCAUGGGUGAUACUAUGAAAGUUUUCUUCGUAAAUUUUUUAUUUGUGUUUCCUUUGAUGAUCUAGACAACUGUCGUUUGUCAUUUGUUUUCAAAUUAAUAAUUAUGUUUGUGAAGCAGACGAUAUGUUUUCAUUUCUAAUAAGAAACUUGGUGUUUGCUUGUGCUUGGUCUGUUAUUGUUCCUAAUUUGGAAAAGUAAGAAUUUUUUUUUUGUGUGCUAGACUAGAACAAAUAUUUUUAUAUAAUUAUGUUUCUUAUUGUAGGUAUUCCUUAAACUUCUUGGUUAUCAGCUCUAACCAAGUUUUCACAUUUAAGACUUUUUGACUAAAAAGAUGUUUUUCACUGGAGGAGCUGGGACUGGGUACAUCAGAAGCCCCUGUGUAGUUGAGCUGUUAGAACUUUAUUUCUUGCGAGAAGUAUGUCCACUCUAUAUUAAUGGAGAAAAAUGCACUGCUCAGCAACUGCCACUGCUCAGUUUCAACUAUGUGUUCAGCAGAUCCUCCAGAAACUGCAUCUUCAACUGUUCAACAGCAGAUCUGUCAACUUCAGGUUGAGCUGCAGCUGGCCUUCCCUUUACAGCUAAUAUUGGCUGCUUCUGGGAGUGAUAGCAUUCAGCUAAGGCUUCAGCCAACUAAUAAAAGGAAUAACCUUAACAUUGCCACGGAAUCAGUCAUUGCAAAGAUUUCACUAUACAAUAGCGCCGAAAUUAACGGUGAAGAAGUUAAAUAUAAAAAACAGAGCUGAGAAACACUCAAUUGAUAAUUCUCCCAGCAAAGAUUCAUCGAGUAGUUCAUUCAGGGCUAAGAAAGAGAAGUCAAAGUUGGAGAAGGAGCUGUUGUCUUCUGUGGUCUCUGCAAUCAAGCUUAUGUCUCAUGUUGAGUCAGCUUACAAAGUUAGGGAAGUUGAAACAUACACCAAGCAAGUAGAAAAGUUUGAGUUGCACAUUCAUGAGUUCACACUCUAAGUGGAAGAGCUCAACAGCACUAUUAUCGACAUCAGCAGCCACAAAACUCGUUUGAAAACAUUGAACUGACCAAGGAAGUACGAGAGCUGAAAUUCAGCUACGAAAACAUCAGCUAUUUGAAAAGCAACUCAGCUCAAGCCAAACAAAUUCGAAGAUCUGCGUCGUCGCUUUGAAGACAAAAAACGCGUAAAAACUAAUAAGAGAAGAAAGCGUAAAUCUCCACCGAUGGCACAAAAAAAAAUUCAUUUCUGUUCUCUUGAAGCGCCGUUCCCCUUUGGAAGGUAAUUUGCACUCAGUCAAAAUUGAGCUGGAGUCGAUCCGCGUUCAGCUGGAAGAGGAAGCGGAAGCUUGCUUGGAUUUGGAACGUCAGCUCUCCAAAGUCAACCAGGAUUGUCUGUCUUGGAAAUCCAAGUACGAACAUGCCUGCACUUUUCACACCGAAGAGAUCGAAGAAAUCAGGCGCAAAUUUCACAUCCAGGUGACUUAACUGGAAAAACAGAUCAGCGCUCUGAUCUCCAAAUGCUCAGGUUUGGAGAAGAGCACGUUACGUUUACAGAAUGAGGUAGACGUUCUCAUCAUCGAUUUGAAGAAGGCUAAUAGCACCGCUCGAGAGAUGCAGAAGCGCAGCAAGCAACUGGAGCUCAUCAACAUUGAAUUCAAAUCCAAGUUGGAUAAGAUUGAGCUGAGUGUCCUAUACGACGCUUCCCAGAGAGAUAAUCAUAACAAGACGACAGAGAUUUCCCGUUUGACUCACGAACUGAACAAAACUCGCGAACGGAAAGAUCAGCUUACCCGUGAAAACAAGAAAUUGGAUGAGAUCGCUGAGCUGAAGAGCCAGUACUCUGAAGUCUGAACUCAACAGCAGAUUCUAUUAGUUAGAAAUUGAAUAUCGCCGUCUAGAAAACGAACUUGAAGAGUUGCGUUAACCAUACAAAGAAAUCCAGAGACUGCUCGUAAAGUUGAAGAACAUCGCGUUCGUCGCAUGGAAUUGCAGCUUAGAUGAACCAAUCAAUCUCGAUAUGGAAAGCCGACUUACCGAUGAGGAGGAAGAUCUCAAGUCUAUAAAGAAGCAAAUGUCAGCAAAUGUCUAUAUCGAAAUCUUGUCCAUGCGGAAACCAAGUUGAAAACCGAAAUCCAGCGCAUUCGGAAGAAGAUGAUAAUCACAAUCACCGAGUUGGAAAUGGGGGGUAACUUAAUCUCGGGGGUCGGGGAACUAAAGCUCGGGGAAAAUGGCUACGACCGAGUCCCCGUUCAAACGGAGUGACGGGUAAACAAAAAAAGAUUAAAACUCGGGGAAUUGACUCGGGGACGGGGAGUCGGGGAAUGAUUUUUUUGGGCUGACGGAGUAUGGCACGUUAGGCCUAUUUGGCUCACAUCUAUUUGAUGGAAAAUACCGAAAAAUAUUUGUAAAAUCCGUUAAAAUCAAAUUGCAAUGAUAA